UCCCCACUUUGGUCACUUGGGACGGGUUGUGGGCAACAGCAGUUUAGAAGAAUCGGUAGUAGAGACGUGAAUGUUAAAGCCAAUGGGCUAGAAAACUAUAAGGAUACUUGAUUUGUUUCCAUGUCUACCUUUCAGUAUUCAGCCUUGCGAGAAAAGGUGCCUCAGGAUAGAAGCUUGACAUAGGUGUGGCCUUGAAUGCCAGGAUUUUAUGAGUAGCCUGACUCUUCUGUUCUCAUUACAGAAUCAGAAUUCAAAAGAUCAAUGGAAGUUUGCUUAUGAAAGUAAAACAUCAAUGUACUAAUGCAUUUCAAGUUUUCAACAGGAGAGUACUUUCUGAUGUUUUAAUGACCAAGUAUUAUUGAUCUUGAGGUGUGUUAUUGAUCUCCGUUGCUAAAUAGAUGGUGUUUUUUGUUACUUUGUGAAGAAGCAUUGCAUGCAAGACACCAUAGAAAAAAACUGCUGCCAAUCGCAGCUUGAUGGGGCUUGUUGCGCCUCUGGAACACGUAGCCGCUAACAAAGAGCAGCUCGAAGGUUUGAACAAAUGUACAUAUUGAAAUUUAGAGUUCCAACAGUACAUAUGUGCAAGAGUGUAAUGUUCACUUGGAACUUGCUCGUGAUGGAGACGUUCCACAAAAAAAAAGUGAAGACGACCUGAAACUUCAUGAGAUAAUUUAGUAAUUCGGUCUGGUCAGUACAUUUCUGCAUAAAC
rnacentral:lncRNA from 1 species